GGGUUUUUAGUUCAAAGCGGGCAGAAAUUGUCUUGCUGGAUCUAAUUCUCCUAUUUUUCGGUAGUGGGUAGUCUCCUUUACUGGUGAUUAUUUUUUUCCGCUCCGAAUCGUUUACUUUGAAAAAAUUAGAGUGUUCAAAGCAGGCGUAACCUAGCCUUGAAUAUAUUAGCAUGGGAUAAUAGAAUAUGACCUCGGUCUUAUUUUGUUGGUUUCUAAGGCUGAAGUA
rnacentral:rRNA from 1 species